CUAAAUUCUUUUUCUCUUCCUCGCUCACCCCUUCUGCGACGCACAGCCCCCUCCCCCUCACCUCUCUAUCUUUCAGCCAUCUUCCCUCUCCGCCGUAGCCGCGCCCCACACCACUGUCAUCGGCGAUGUCUCAGGCAGCCACCCGUAAGGCUUCGUCUCUCUCUCUCGGUCACCUUCUAACUCUUGCGAGAUUCCCUGUCGCGGUGUUGUUCCAGCAAUCACUCCGCUGCCACCUUCGUCGCUGUGAUGCGCCGCCGCUGCUCAUCACCGAACAACCUCAAGCCCCAGCAGAUGCCGCUCUCUCUGUCAUGCCCUUCUUACCGUAGGUCUGUCUCUCUCACUCUCCCUCUGUCUCGCAUCCUCUCUUCCCUCAGUCUAGACGUCGCCGCCAUCAACCACCGCAUCGUGACCAACAACCACCGCAAGUCGCACCCCAACUCCCUUUCUAUCUCACGGUACCCCCACUUCCCUCCCCUGUUUCGCAUAGCGACCACGAGGAGCCCUAAACGACGCCUCCUCUUCUCCUUGCCGGUUUCUCUCUCUUCUUUGUGUUUUGCCGCUAGCUGCCGUGCCUGGCUACACGUCAUUCUUCAUGGUUCUUACUGCGUCAUUCUCCACAAUUCUGACUAUAGUUGCCAUGAAACUCAGCUGCAUCGCCGUGCACUGACGCCUCAGUCUUUCGUCUUUCUGUGUUCCUCUCUUUCAGUCGUACCCUCUCCCUCCCUUAAAAUCUCUCAAUCUCUCUCUGUUGCUUCUGCCCGUGGGUUUAGAAAUUCUACCUAGGUCCCCGCCGUGCGACGCCGAGGCCCGCCGCAGUUGGCCGCUCCCUCGUGGUCAUCCGACCUCCCCCUCACAUUCUCCUCUUUGUUCGGCCCCUUCUCCUCCCAGAUUCACCCAACCCGAGUGUAGAUCCCCUUUUUGGGGUUCCGCUCCGCCACCAACCGCCUCCCUCCGCCGCGAAACCUCCCACCUCCAUCCUUUAUCGCGACUGAUCUGCCACCCAUUAGAAUUUUCCCAGUCGUAGGCCCUUUAUUUCACCCAGAUCCGUCCUUGCCACUGUGCUCCGCCCCUACAGCCGCCACAACAUGACAGACGCACUCACUCACUUGCGGGAUGCUUUAGUCAGCGCGCUCGAUCCUCCAGAAUUUUGGCCUUUCGCGUUUGGGUCCAGGAAACCGUGGCAAAAAAUGGAUUUGGGAAGGCCAUCUCUUCGAUGGUCAUUUACUUGAUGGAGCUUGAGAAGAUAUUUAGAGGUGACAUUCUAAUAAAAAACUCCUAUAUUUUCCUCCAACCACAAUAUGGAAGACAUCUUCACCAAGCCACUUGGGACAGUCCAAUUUACCAAUUUGCAUUGCAAGCUGGGCAUCAACAAUAUUCACUACUCACCUUGAGGGGGAGUAUUGAUAUAAGAUUUAUCUUCAAACUAAAUAAGAUAACUGCACCUGACAACCGGCGGCAACAACCGAAAUUUGAUUGGACUACCGCCACACUAUUUGUUUUCAAAAUUAAAUUUCAUUGAUUUAACUUUUAUCAUGUGUAGUUUAGUAUUAAUGCUUGUAAUUUAUCAUUCCAAUUGAGAAAA